rnacentral:rRNA from 1 species
AACGGCGAGUGAAGCGGUAAAAGCUCAAAUUUGAAAUCUGGUACUUUCAGUGCCCGAGUUGUAAUUUGUAGAAUUUGUCUUUGAUUAGGUCCUUGUCUAUGUUCCUUGGAACAGGACGUCAUAGAGGGUGAGAAUCCCGUUUGGCGAGGAUACCUUUUCUCUGUAAGACUUUUUCGAAGAGUCGAGUUGUUUGGGAAUGCAGCUCAAAGUGGGUGGUAAAUUCCAUCUAAAGCUAAAUAUUGGCGAGAGACCGAUAGCGAACAAGUACAGUGAUGGAAAGAUGAAAAGAACUUUGAAAAGAGAGUGAAAAAGUACGUGAAAUUGUUGAAAGGGAAGGGCAUUUGAUCAGACAUGGUGUUUUUUGCAUGCACUCGCCUCUCGUGGGCUUGGGCCUCUCAAAAAUUUCACUGGGCCAACAUCAAUUCUGGCAGCAGGAUAAAUCAUUAAGAAUGUAGCUACUUCGGUAGUGUUAUAGCUUUUUGGAAUACUGUUAGCCGGGAUUGAGGACUGCGCUUCGGCAAGGAUGUUGGCAUAAUGGUUAAAUGCCGCCCGUCUUGA